rnacentral:rRNA from 1 species
AGCGAACGCUGGCGGCAGGCCUAACACAUGCAAGUCGAGCGGGCCUUCUUGUGGUGUCAGCGGCCGACGGGUUAGUAACGCGUGGGAACGUGCUCUUCUGUUCGGAAUAACUCAGGGAAACUUGUGCUACUACCUGAUACGUUCGAGAGCAGAAAUGUUUAUCUUACGAAGGAUCGGCCCGCGUUUGAUUAGCUAGUUGGUUAGGUUACUGCUAACCAAGGAGACGAUCAGUAGCUGGGCGGGGAGGAUGAUCAGCCACACUGGGAGUGAGACACGGCCCAGACUGCUACGGGAGGGAGCAGUGGGGAAUAUUGGACAAAGGGGGCAAGACUGAUCCAGCCAUGCAGCGUGAGUGAGGAAGGAAGUAGGGUGGUAAAGAUAUUUUCUCCGGGACGAUAAUGAAGGUACCGGAGGAAUAAGCCCCGGCUAACUUAGUG